AGGAAGCUGCACUAUUUAAAAGCAGAAUGUGCAAAAAGCUGAUCUGCCUGGAGAUGAGGAGCAGAUAGGAACCGAGAUACCAGGAUGCAGAGAGAGAGUGAUAGAAGAAGGAAAUGGGGGAAGUACAGUGAUAAAGACAGCAAAUGGCACAUGAAAAAGGAGGUGAAGAAAUUCUGAGCCAGCAAGAAUAAAAAAAGAAGAAUAGAUGACGAAAUGUUGGCAACUGUGAGGAAGACUGACGGAUACACUCAAACUAGGACUAGCUCUGGCUCAGACAGCUGCAGAAACAGCUUGGCUUCAGACAUUUACCACAGCAGAUUUGCUUAAUCAAACAACCAUCAGAGCAGCUUUGUUCCAAGCAGUUGCCAAAAGCCUGUCAUGCUACAACUUCAAAAAGCUGUUCCAGCAGCUUUACUGCACACACCAGAGAUGCUCAUCGUGCAUGGAGGUGACGUCAUACAUUUCUGAGUCGGAAAAUUUGAGCACAGCUUCCCUCAGCAACCGUUUCAUGUGCACUUAAACCUUUCCCCAAGGGCAAAGUCCCUCAAUUUUAGAGCAGACCAGACAUCAGUUUGUGUCUACCCUCCAUCACCAUGAAACAACAGCAGCAGUAGCGGAUGAGGAGGAAAAAGACAUCCACAGCAAAGGUGAGAAGCCUUGGCAGCAAUAACAGGAAGAAGUCAAAAUAAGAAAGAACUACUAUACUGCUGUGGUGUUUGAGCACCAGAAACUGACUUAAGACCUUUGAAUGCAAUUCCAGAGGUGCUACCACAGGACUGCUCAGAUGCAGGGAAGAAACAAAGGAGUUAACUGGAGAGCAAAAUGCUUGUGAGCAACAAGACCUUUUCUGUUUCAAAGGAAAAUUCCAUGCUUUCCCUUCUGGUUGGCCUGCCGUAGCGGAUAUGCUUUUGGAGUACAGCAUGUACAGUGCAUAAGCAACUACUGGCAUUCAUGGUUGGCUUCCAAAUCAGCAGUGCUUAAAAAUACAAAGUGCAGAAUCGGUUCUUUCUUCUAUCCUGGGUUUUGUUGUUGCUGUUUUUGUUGCUAUUGUUGUUUUUAUUUUGAAACAGUAUUUGCUCUCUUAAAAACAUGAAUACAUAAUUUUAACCCUUUGCAACUAUUUCUCUGUUCAAUCUAAAUGUUCUUCCUUCCCUUCUGAUGUCAGUGGAAGACAGUUUUCAGUUUACUGUAAAGAAACAGCACUAUAGCUGACUACAGGAACCAACACUUCUGAAGACAGCAAAUAACAUCUCAGAGCCCACCCGGAGCAAUGCCAGAAGGUACGCUUCCUCUAACACAAGUACAGUCAGCAUGUUGCCUGAGUAUUGGAGGCUCUGUGUGAAACUUGCUUUAAAGAAUGUAACUAAAGGAGGUGACAAGCAAGGAUCAGUCUGAGAAUUUGGGCUUCAUCUUGAGAAAUCACUUCUCCUAAUCAGCAAAAUAUUUACUGUUAUCCAUACUCACUUCCCAGGUCAAUGUGUCUUGCUGGAAUUAAAUGACAUUGCUAUAGUUAUCUUUUAUAUUAUUUCACUGUCUACUCAUGCUGGGGGCAGACAGAGACACUGAAGAUAAUUAGGAAUGGAAACCUCCAGCGUGAAUGAAGAUGAUUAUUACUCAAAGCCAAGCAGCAGCUCAGUACGUCCUUGAAAAAUGUUAAAAACAUGGAAGUGUUCAAGAAUGAAUUGGUCAAAAAAACUGAGCAAGGAUGAGGAAAUUGCUCUCUCCAAAACUGUGGAGAGAAGAAAACCAAAGGACAGGAUGGCAGCAGGGCAUAAGGCCCAAGGGAGGGACCUUCUUGUAUUCUAAACCAGCUUCUCUAUGUAGCUGUGAUGUGAGUGGCAACAUUCACAUAUAGCAUGGCUGCAGUUUAGUUAGGAUGCACGUAACCAAACAGGGAGAACAAAGAGUUUUUUAGCCUUUAUGUCUAUGUAUAAAUGCGUCUCCACAAAGAAAAGGGUAAAUAUUCAGGUUGUCUUAGUUACUCAGUAAUCUCAAGUAAAAGAGAAAUGAAACACAUUAAAAAAUCCAGAGUGAUGUAUCAUGAGAAAAAGUCUGUUUCAGACUAUCCAGGUUUUACUUUAUGGGCACUUAAAAAAAUGUACAUGGCCUCCUACUAGCAACACAGAAAGUUCACAGCCUUGGUUAUUUCCCUAGGCCUACCUCUAUCUCACUUCAGGGCAGCCAUCCAGUGUUGCUGUCCCUGAACCAGCCUUUCUUGCAAAGAUAAGCUCUUACUGGUAAAAUUGAUCACACCACAGAAAUCAAACCUGUCCUGUUUUCUUUUACACAAUUGAGAAGUAUUUGCUCCCAUAGAACUCCUCUGCUUAGACGUAAAACAGCAGGAAAAAAAUAUAUAUAUAUAUACAGGCCUCAUUUAUAUAGAUCAUUGACAAAAUGAAAAAGCCUGGCCUUCAUUUCAGUGGGGCCAGUGAACACUUGCUAAUGAAAGUCCUCUUAUCUUUUUUGUUUUGGGAAAAUGCACAAUAGGAAAGAUGUCAGCUAAAACAAUCUUAAAUAUGCUUUUGCUCUUACUUCAGGAAAGAAAAAUCAUGUUUCAAACUGUUUCUGCUUGUCAGAAUUAGCACAUGAACUGCCUGAAGAGAAACAUGAAUAAAAAUACUGUUCCUCUUUUCUGUUCCCACUUGAAACUUCACUGCAACGUGGUUUAUAUAUAUAUAUAAUAUAUAUUAUAUAUAUAUAUAAUAUGUAUUUAUUUAUUUAUUUAUAAAUAUGUGUGUAUAUAAACACACACACACUUUUUCUCACAACGGGGAAGAUCCUAAAAUGCUUUCUGUUUAAAUAUGAAGGCAAUAGCAUGCUGUCUAUUCUGUACUUACUAUUUGCUUGACUCUAGUAAGGUUGCUAUUGAAACAAACCAACUUCAUGUCUUCUAUGUUGUAUUGAUUCAACUUGAAAGAACUAUGUUUGUUUAAAUAACCUUUGAACCUCAAGAAAUUUGCAGGAUGUUCUGUCAAAGUCUUCACAAUGUUUCAGGUAUUGUGAAGACAUACAAAAAUGCUAAGAAAUUCUAAAUAAAGGGCAAAAUCAAGAAAAUACACACAGAAAAAAAAAAGGAGGGAAAAAAAAAAAAAAAAAAAAAGAUGUUUUGCACUUUAUUUGCAAUUGUAUUUCAUCAUUUUUCUUCCAGUCCCAUCUUUUGUCACAAAUCCUAUGCUGUAGGAUCCCAGGGCUUCUUCAGUUUUCUAGACUUAACAACUCUACUCUCCAGAGAUUUUCCUAUUUUCUUUAGCAUUUCUUCUUUCCCUUCCUGUCCAAAGCCCUUGCUGAAAGCCUUCAACAAAUCAAAUCCUUGACAGCAAAUUCUUUUAUCUUCAUUUUAGAAACUUGUCACCUAUGUUUCUGUAGAAUGAUAUUUUAAACUAGCCUAGCAGAGUGAUUUAUAAGCUUAGAGACUGCUUGAUUUGACCUCUUUCACCUUGAAAGGACAUGUAAAAGGAAACAGAGAUUCAUCUUCUGCCAUUCCAUGGGCUCCCAAGCUUCUUUUCAUUGAGAACAGGACAUGAUCAUUUAUCCCGAGUGAAAUAUUGCUGGUUACAGAUGCUCUACUAUCUCUAUAAUAUAUUGUGUUUUAACUUACAUUUUUCUCACAAUCCAGUGAUGUUAAAUGCAGUAACAGGUAAAAGCCUCCAGUACCUCCAUUUUUUCCUUCAUCAGUGGUUUGCCAAAGCAUCAGUAUUUAGUUGUGUCUUCUUGACGUUUUACUUUGACACCUACAUGGACAAAUAAGCUAAAAAUAAGAGAGCUUGUAUUUUUCUUUCUACUUGUUACCCUAGACGUUAUAUAGCGAUGCAGGGAGGGGUUUAGAAUUUUAGAGCAAGCAUAUCUUUAAUAAAGAGCAGCACCAGAAGCAACAAUAGUCAUAUGUAACCAGCCACACUGAGUUAGUUUCAAUGGAAUAAAUGAGAAUUCAGUCUUAGGUGUUCAUGUAAUCUAACCAAUCUAAAGUGUUAAACCAUUUAACACGGUUUGUGGUUUUAAGUACAGAGAGCUCAGCCUGCUCAGUCACACAGUAGCUGCACAAGAAAUUCAUGCUAAAGCUGGAAAGUAUACUGAUUAGUACUUACAAAAACAAAACACAAAGCAUUUGAAAAUUGAAAACAAAUGGUUAAACAAGAAUAACUUAAUCAAAAUAUGUCAGAGUCCUUCUACCAGAUGCAGGUUAUUUGUUUAGAAUCCAUUAUGCUAGCCAGAAGUCCUUAGCAACAAGAAAGGCUUAAUUCUCUUACUCAUCUUUCAGUUCAGGACUGUAGGAGUAAAGAUUGAUUUCCUGCUUGAUAAUAAAUAUAGACAUGGCAAGAGAAAAGACAGAAGAGUGGAAAGCAGGGGAGGUGUAGCGGUUGCUGAGCCCUUCAGAAUGGAAAACACUUUGGAGAAGCAAGUUACCUUUGGUAACUGCCAAACUGGAGUCCAAUUCCCUUGGUGGUAUAGGAUACCUUUCUGGCCAAAUCAGGUUUUCUUUCAUCCAUCAUUCUUCAUUUUGCAGAGAAGCGCAGAUAUUCUCAGCUGACAUUGAAAGCAGAGUGACAGAAAGUGAGAGACCGAAAUAAAAGAUAACAAAGGGAAACAGAGACUCAGAAAACGUGGAAAGACAAGGCAGCAUCUCACUUCUGUCAGGUUGUGGGUUUGUUGGAAACAACAAGGUACACUGUUUGAUGGUCUGUGUCUGGUGAAAGCUGCCCAGUGGAGCUGAGAAUCAAUACAUGUCCUUUCCUCAAUAAGUCCUUUAGAAAUCUCUUUUACCCUAUUGGUCUCUGGUUUCUUUCUGCUUUUAUAGGUUUGCUGGAUGAUGUGAGAUUGAACAGGCCAUCCCUUCUUUAUCUCAUUCAUAUAAUUUGGUCUACUAAUUUCUCAUUUCAACCUUUCCUUGUCAUUCAUACGUCAUCUUCAUGCUACCCUUGACUGUAUAAAGAGGAUGUCUUUGAAUGAGUGAUUGUUGUCUCCAUUUCUUCUUUCUUCUGUCAUCUUUAACUGUUGCAGUUAAUUGCAAUGCUUUAUGAACUUCUAUGAGUUUCUCAGAGAUGAUUCCAAAAUUACAAUGGACAUGUGGUCUCUAAUUAUCACAAAUGCAUGGAGGAGUCAACAAGUGAGUAACAAACUCUUUCAUUUCAGCCACGGAUGCUUACUGGAAUGUGAAAUACCAUUAGAACAUUAAAAUACCCUAGUAAGGCAAAAAGGGAACUAAGGAUCCUGAUGUAGCUACUACAGCCAAAACUCUUUUAUAUUCCAAGAACAAACUUCAGGAUUUCCACUAACCACUAUAAAGUUCAAAGCAGUCUAUCCAGCCCUUUAGGCUGGUGAGUCUUUCUCCAUGGUAAACAUGCCCAAUGUUUCACAACAUUCUCUCAGAGAUGGCAGCUAGCCACCUGGCAGUUGUUCUUAUGAAAGGUUUUCUUCAUUUUAAUUAUAAAAAUAUCCUAACAAAUGCCUCCCUUGCCUAUUAUGCUGCUUUUAAGAUACAGUUCAAUGUGAUUUAUGAGGGGGUAAAUUAACACAUUCCUGCUAUGGUCAUUAUAGCUAUAGUUGAUUGGGCAGUAUCAAGAGCCAGUUUUUUUUGCAGUUUAGGUACCAGAAGCAUUUGAUCACAUUUACACAGACGACAUUCAGUACUGCCACUCUUAUAAUAAACCAACUUGUCAGUGCCAGCUAUUUAAUUUUGUAAAGCCACUACCCACAAUUUAUUAGUGAUGGCAUUUCAAGCCUGAAGAGUCGUAUAUUUUGGGGACAGUGAACAUCCUUGAAACAAGCUUAUGCUAAUGUCUUAUAUCUUGCAAUUGGGCAGAAUAGGAACAUUCAUGCAGAGAGUGAUAGCUGCUCAGCUGAGCUUUGCAGCUGCUCUCUUCUUCUACAAUCAUCUGAAUGAAAUUCACAUA